GAUGAACGCUGGCGGCGUGCCUAAUACAUGCAAGUCGAGCGAACAGACGAGGAGCUUGCUCCUCUGACGUUAGCGGCGGACGAGUGAGUAACACGUGGAUAACCUACCUAUAAGACUGGGAUAACUUCGGGAAACCGGAGCUAAUACCGGAUAAUAUAUUGAACCGCAUGGUUCAAUAGUGAAAGACGGUUUUGCUGUCACUUAUAGAUGGAUCCGCGCCGCAUUAGCUAGUUGGUAAGGUAACGGCUUACCAAGGCAACGAUGCGUAGCCGACCUGAGAGGGUGAUCGGCCACUCUGGAACUGAGACACGGUCCAGACUCCUACGGGAGGCAGCAGUAGGGAAUCUUCCGCAAUGGGCGAAAGCCUGACGGAGCAACGCCGCGUGAGUGAUGAAGGUCUUCGGAUCGUAAAACUCUGUUAUUAGGGAAGAACAAAUGUGUAAGUAACUAUGCACGUCUUGACGGUACCUAAUCAGAAAGCCACGGCUAACUACGUG
rnacentral:rRNA from 1 species